GACUUGAGCUUCACUUACUGCUUGUUAUCCACAUGUUACCUUGUAUCUGAACCUACCACCUAGUGGUAUAUUAGUUCAUAAUUGUUUGGACAAAUAAUCGACAGGAUAUGCUGAUGUUGACACGAAAGGUGGGGUCAUUCAGAUUAUAAAAAACAUGUGGACACGUUACUCCAAUCUUACAUUUCAUCCUCACUCAGUUCAUCACGUUAAGUUUGUCUUAACAAACCAAUAUAACAUAUUUGGAUGUAUCCGUUUUCAACUCUCAAAGACUGUGGUGGAGAAAUCCAAUAAUGCAGACCAUGGAUAUUGAUGACGACACGUCUCCCAACAAGCCCAGUGUUACAUUUUCAGCUAAUUUUCAGUGGUGGAAGAGACCCUCUGGAGUUGCUGCAGUGUGUCUGGGGCUGCUGUGUGUUCUUCUAUUGGCUGGGAUCUUAGGCCUGUUUGUCUACUAUGGAGUCAUUGAUCAUCACUACUCAACAGAGAGAGACCAACAGACCAGUUACAGCCUUCUGACUAAAGAAGGAGAUCAGCAACCCAACAGCUAUCAUAACUUGACUAAAGAGGAAGACCAUCUACAGACCAGUUAUAACACCCUGACUAAAGAGAGAGACCAGUUUCAGAAAGAGAAAGACCAGAUACAGACUAGUUACAACACUCUGACUAAAGAGAGAGACCAGCUACAGAGAAGCUAUAACACCCUGACUAAAGAGAGAGACCAGCUACACACCAGUUACAACACCCUGACUAAAGAGAGAGACCAGCUACAGAGCAGUUACAACACCCUGACUGAAGAGAGAGACCAGCUACAGAGGCAGUUACAACAACCUGACUGAAGAGAGAGACCAGCUACAGAGCAGUUACAACAACCUGACUGAAGAGAGAGACCAGCUACAGAAUAGUCUCACAACCAAAAGUAAGGAGAAAUAUCAGUUGCAGAAUUCUCUCACCACACAAACACAGGAAAGUGAUCAAUUGCAGAAUAGCCUGAACAAAAAAACUAAGGAGAGAGACCAGCUACAGAAUAGUCUAAAUACCAGGACCACAGAGAGAGACCAGCUACAGAAAAGUCUAAAUAACAGGACCACUGAGCGAGACCAGCUACAAAAUAGCCUAAUACCAGGACUACAGAGAGAGACCAGCUACAAAUAUUCUCAUCACAAGGACCAAAGACAGGGAUCAGCAGCAAAAUAGUCUUAAAGUUAUGACUGCUGAAAGAGAUCUAUUAAAGAAUAGUCUUAACUCAAGGACAAAAGAGAGAGACCAGUUGCAGAAUAGUCUAAAUACCAGGACCACAGAGAAAAACCAGCUACAGAAUAGUCUCACAACUAAAACUAAGGAGAGAGACCAGUUGCAGAAUAGUCUAAAUACCAGGACUGCAGAGAAAAACCAGCUACAGAAUAGUCUCACAACCAAACUAAGGAGAGAGACCAGUUGCAGAAUAGUCUAAAUACCAGGACUGCAGAGAAAAACCAGCUACAGAAUAGUCUCACAACCAAAACUAAGGAGAGAGACCAGUUGCAGAAUAAGCUCACCACAAUAACUCUGGAAAGAGACCAGUUACAGACCAGGCUUAAGUUCUAUGAGAAACCCUGUCUGGAUGGAUGGUGGAAGUUUGGCACCAGCUGUUAUUUUCUCUCCUCCACGAUGAAAGGAGCUGCGAGUGGUCAGAAGGAGUGCAGAACAAUCGGUGCUGACUUGGUUAUUAUAAACAGCAAAGAAGAACAGAUAUUUAUCCAUGGAUUUAAGAAGAAUGUCUGGAUUGGAAUAUAUAAAGAAUACGGAAUCUGGAAGUGGGUUGACAAAACACCGUUUAACACUGCCUAUUGGAUGGAAGGGGAACCAAAUAAUAUCCAUGGCGAGUGUGUUGAGAUCUCACAGACGGCAUCAGACCCAUUGAAGAGUUGGAAGGCUGCAACAUGUACUUCAAAUUACUUGGUGUGUGAAAAACCGUUCACACCGUAGUCUAAUUAUAAUAGCUACUGUAACCCCAUAUCUCAUGGAGUUGUUCUGGUUUUCACUGUUAGGCUUAAACUGUUUCUGUUUCUAUGUGUAACUACAUUGAAAGAUGUAUUCAUGUCUUUAAAGACUCCAGAGCUAUGUGCAGUGUGUCCACCAUUCAUCAGGCCCAGGGGAGUGGAACUGUGGUCUUAUAGGCUGUGGUUUAUCAUUCUUUUUCUUUACCAUAUUUACUAUUUUUACCACUAUGGUGUGCACAUAACAAUCUAACAAGAUACUGUUUUCAUUUAAAAACUUAAAGUUUUUACAGUUAUCAAUCCAUUUGAAAUGCAGCAGUGUUCUAUGUUUGCUUCCAUUCUGUUCCAUAUGUUCCAUGUGUUCAUUCUACUGAUUAAAUACAUCUAUAUACUGUGA